UUAUCUCUGUAGAGUCUGCAUAUCAAUAAGCGGAGGAAAAGAAACUAACUAGGAUUCCCUUCAGUAACGGCGAGUGAAGCGGGAAGAGCUCAAAUUUGAAAUCUUCAAGGUUUUACCUUGACGAAUUGUAGUUUAAAGAAGUGUUUUCUGUUGAAGUUUCGGUAAAAGUUCUUUGGAAUAGGACAUCAUAGAGGGUGAGAAUCCCGUAUUUGACCGUUACUUUCCAGCUGUGUGAUACACUUUCAAAGAGUCGGAUUGUUUGGGAAUGCAGUCCAAAAUGGGUGGUAAAUUUCAUCUAAAGCUAAAUAUUGGCGAGAGACCGAUAGCGAACAAGUACCGUGAGGGAAAGAUGAAAAGAACUUUGAAAAGAGAGUUAAACAGUACGUGAAAUUGUCAAAAGGGAAGCGUUUGACACCAGUGUUGUUUUCUCGAAAAUCAAUUAAAAAAAGUUGGAUUUUGUAUUGUUAAGACCUUAUCAGCUUACUGUACUCUUUUCUUGCUUUUUUUAAUGCACUUUUCGUUUAACAAGUCAACAUCAAUUUCUUUUGUUGUAAAAGAGUCAUUGGAAGGUGGCUUUCACUUCGGUGAAAGUGUUUAUAGCCUUUGGCUUCUGCAAUCGGAGAGAUUGAGGUCUGCAGCGUAGAUCCUUCGGGGCUAGAUACGUAGAUGCUAAGUUAUAGUUUUUUAUAGACAACUUGUUGACUAUAAUUAAUCAUGUAGCUUACUCGUUUGCGCUAUUUACCUACGCUUAGGAUGUUGAAGAUGUAGCACAUCAU
rnacentral:rRNA from 1 species